GACGAACGCUGGCGGCGUGCUUAACACAUGCAAGUCGAACGGAAAGGCCCUGCUUUUGUGGGGUGCUCGAGUGGCGAACGGGUGAGUAACACGUGAGUAACCUGCCCUUGACUUUGGGAUAACUUCAGGAAACUGGGGCUAAUACCGGAUAGGAGCUCCUGCUGCAUGGUGGGGGUUGGAAAGUUUCGGCGGUUGGGGAUGGACUCGCGGCUUAUCAGCUUGUUGGUGGGGUAGUGGCUUACCAAGGCUUUGACGGGUAGCCGGCCUGAGAGGGUGACCGGCCACAUUGGGACUGAGAUACGGCCCAGACUCCUACGGGAGGCAGCAGUGGGGAAUAUUGCACAAUGGGCGGAAGCCUGAUGCAGCGACGCCGCGUGCGGGAUGACGGCCUUCGGGUUGUAAACCGCUUUCGCCUGUGACGAAGCGUGAGUGACGGUAAUGGGUAAAGAAGCGCCGGCUAACUACGUGCCAGCAGCCGCGGUGAUACGUAGGGUGCGAGCGUUGUCCGGAUUUAUUGGGCGUAAAGGGCUCGUAGGUGGUUGAUCGCGUCGGAAGUGUAAUCUUGGGGCUUAACCCUGAGCGUGCUUUCGAUACGGGUUGACUUGAGGAAGGUAGGGGAGAAUGGAAUUCCUGGUGGAGCGGUGGAAUGCGCAGAUAUCAGGAGGAACACCAGUGGCGAAGGCGGUUCUCUGGGCCCUUCCUGACGCUGAGGAGCGAAGGCGUGGGGAGCGAACAGGCUUAGAUACCCUGGUAGUCCACGCUGUAAACGGUGGGUACUAGGUGUGGGGUCCAUUCCACGGGUUCCGUGCCGUAGCUAACGCUUUAAGUACCCCGCCUGGGGAGUACGGCCGCAAGGCUAAAACUCAAAGGAAUUGACGGGGCCCCGCACAAGCGGCGGAGCAUGCGGAUUAAUUCGAUGCAACGCGUAGAACCUUACCUGGGUUUGACAUGGAUCGGGAGUGCUCAGAGAUGGGUGUGCCUCUUUUGGGGUCGGUUCACAGGUGGUGCAUGGCUGUCGUCAGCUCGUGUCGUGAGAUGUUGGGUUAAGUCCCGCAACGAGCGCAACCCUUGUUCACUGUUGCCAGCACGUUAUGGUGGGGACUCAGUGGAGACCGCCGGGGUCAACUCGGAGGAAGGUGGGGAUGACGUCAAGUCAUCAUGCCCCUUAUGUCCAGGGCUUCACGCAUGCUACAAUGGCUGGUACAGAGAGUGGCGAGCCUGUGAGGGUGAGCGAAUCUCGGAAAGCCGGUCUCAGUUCGGAUUGGGGUCUGCAACUCGGCCUCAUGAAGUCGGAGUCGCUAGUAAUCGCAGAUCAGCAACGCUGCGGUGAAUACGUUCCCGGGGCU
rnacentral:rRNA from 1 species